rnacentral:rRNA from 1 species
AUUGAACGCUGGCGGCAGGCCUAACACAUGCAAGUCGAACGAGUGGAGGACGGGUGAGUAAUGUCUGGGAAACUGCCUGAUGGAGGGGGAUAACUACUGGAAACGGUAGCUAAUACCGCAUACCAUCGGAUGUGCCAAGAUGGGAUUGGCUAGUAGGUGGGGUAAAGGCUCACCUAGGCGACGAUCCCUAGCUGGUCUGAGAGGAUGAACAUCCACGUGGGAACUGAGACACGGUUCAGACUCCUCCGGUAGGCAGCAGUGGGGAAUAUUGCACCAUUGGCGCAAUCCUGAUGCAGCCCUGCCUCGUGUAUGGAGAAGGCCUUCGUGUUGUAAAGUACUUUCAGCGGGGAGGCGUGACCCUCAGAAGAAGCCCCGGCUAACUCCGUGCCAGCAGCCGCGGUAAUUC